rnacentral:rRNA from 1 species
GAAGGGUGCAAGCGUUACUCGGAAUUACUGGGCGUAAAGCGUGCGUAGGUGGUCGUUUAAGUCCGUUGUGAAAGCCCUGGGCUCAACCUGGGAACUGCAGUGGAUACUGGACGACUAGAGUGUGGUAGAGGGUAGCGGAAUUCCUGGUGUAGCAGUGAAAUGCGUAGAGAUCAGGAGGAACAUCCAUGGCGAAGGCAGCUACCUGGACCAACACUGACACUGAGGCACGAAAGCGUGGGGAGCAAACAGGAUUAGAUACCCUGGUAGUCCACGCCCUAAACGAUGCGAACUGGAUGUUGGGUGCAAUUUGGCACGCAGUAUCGAAGCUAACGCGUUAAGUUCGCCGCCUGGGGAGUACGGUCGCAAGACUGAAACUCAAAGGAAUUGACGGGGGCCCGCACAAGCGGUGGAGUAUGUGGUUUAAUUCGAUGCAACGCGAAGAACCUUACCUGGCCUUGACAUGUCGAGAACUUUCCAGAGAUGGAUUGGUGCCUUCGGGAACUCGAACACAGGUGC